rnacentral:lncRNA from 1 species
UGAAAGUUUAGAUGCCAAUCACCAUAUAAGUUCAAAGAUGAAAAGCCUGGAAGGAGGAGAAAUGACUAGAAUUGAUUCGGUUGACCAUUUUAUGUGUGGAUUAAUUGUCGGAGUAGAGGACCUUGUGCAUUUCAGGGCUGUAGUUCAGGAAGGCCCGUUGGUGUUCUUUCUCCAGGAUGCAGAGACCCAGAACCUGAUCGGAUGGGUGUUGAUUUGCAGGGCAUUGUGGGGUGGCAGGUGGAAAGGAAAUAGUAACAGCUGCUGGAGGCCUUAACUGAGAGGACAGUAGUGUCACUCUUUACAGGGCCAAUUAGCAGCGAUAAUUCAUUAAAGUCAUGGAAGCCCCAUUACCUUUUGAAGAAUCCCAUUCCAGACUGCUGCUGUCACAGAGGGGGCUGUCAACCUCAGCCUGGCUCUCAGCAUCAGAAGCAACCUUCGGGGGCCUCCCAGACAAUAGAGCCCAGGGGCAGGUCAACCCCCCUGAUGCCCAGGGCAACACACUAGGGGAUCGGAAUGAGCACCAUCAAGACAACCCCAGAGUCAUAAGACAACUGCAGCUUCCCUUCUAAUUAGAUUUCCCAUUGGCAAGAGGAGGAGGAGCAGCGCUAAUCAACUCCAGUACAUCUCCACUACACAGCCUUGGUCAGCCCUGCUCUCUACUCCUCACACACCGGACAUGUUUGGGUUGGAAAUCAUCACGCAGGCUGGAUUCUGGAGGGGAGCGGCUAAGCAGAGC